rnacentral:misc_RNA from 1 species
AACGCACAUUGCGCCCGCCAGCAUUCUGGCGGGCAUGCCUGUUCGAGCGUCAUUUCAACCCUCGGGCCCCCCGCAUUCGCGGCGCCGGGCCUGGCGUUGGGGAUCGGCCGCUGCCCCAGGGCGGACCGGCCGGCCCCGAAACCUAGUGGCGGUCUCGCUGUAGCCUCCUCUGCGUAGUAAUAAAUCCUCGCUGUGGAGAGCGGCAAGGCCACGCCGUAAAACCCCCGACUUUUACCAAAGGUUGACCUCGGAUCAGGUAGGAAUACCCGCUGAACUUAA